rnacentral:rRNA from 1 species
GUCCUUGCCGUAAACGAUGUAUACUUGAUGUAAUUAGGCUCAACCCUGAUUGUGUCGAAGCUAACGCGAUAAGUAUACCGCCUGAGGAGUACGCUCGCAAGGGUGAAACUCAAAAGAAUUGACGGGGGCCCCGCACAAGCAGUGGAGCAUGUGGUUUAAUUCGAUGCAACGCGAAGAACCUUACCCAGGCUCGAAAUGCAGAGGCUAGUACCAGAGAUGGUAUGUUCCGUAAGGACUUCUGUAUAGGUGCUGCAUGGCUGUCGU